rnacentral:rRNA from 1 species
GACGAACGCUGGCGGCGUGCUUAACACAUGCAAGUCGAACGGACAGGCCCUGCUUUUGUGGGGUGCUCGAGUGGCGAACGGGUGAGUAACACGUGAGUAACCUGCCCUUGACUUUGGGAUAACUUCAGGAAACUGGGGCUCAUACCGGAUAGGAGCUCUUGCUGCAUGGUGGGGGUUGGAAAGUUUCGGCGGUUGGGGCUGGUCUCGCGGCUUAUCAGCUUGUUGGUGGGGUAGUGGCUUACAAAGGCUUUGACGGGUAGCCGGCCUGAGAGGGUGACCGGCCACAUUGGGACUGAGAUACGGCCCAGACUCCUACGGGCGGCAGCAGUGGGGAAUAUUGCACAAUGGGCGGAAGCCUGAUGCAGCAACGCCGCGUGCGGGAUGACGGCCUUCGGGUUGUAAACCGCUUUCGCCUGUGACGAAGCGUGAGUGACGGUAAUGGGUAAAGAAGCACCGGCUAACUACGUG